rnacentral:rRNA from 1 species
AGCAACUUGGGAGAAUGCUUCUUACUUUAAAUAAAAGUAAGUAUUCAUAAAAUUUGAAUAUAGUUCUAGAUAAAAAUUUGAUAAUGACAAAGUUUUAUCUAUUUGUCUUGACCAAAUCUUGUGCCAGCAGUCGCGGCAACACAAGGAAGACAAGUGUUAUUCAUCUUAAAUAGGUUUAAGGGGUACCUAGACGGUAAAUUAGGCCAUAGUAGGUACGUUUUUACUAGAGUUAAACAUGCAUGGGGAUUGUGUCAGUAUUACCAGAGUAGAGAUGAAAUUUUUUGAUACUGUUAAGACUGGUAAAGGCGAAAGCAAACCUUUAUGUAUUAACUGACGUUGAGGGACGAAGGCUUGGGGAGCAAACAGGAUUAGAUACCCUAAUAGUCCAGGCAGAGAAUUAUGAAUGUCAUAGGUUAUACAUAUUGUAGUCUAUAAAUGAAAGUGUAAGCAUUCCACCUCAAGAGUAAUGUGGCAACGCAGGAACUGAAAUCAUUAGACCGUUUCUGAUACCAGUAGUGAAGUAUGUUGUUUAAUUUGUCGGUCCACAAAGAACCUUACCACAAUUUGAAUACAUUUAAUAUAUAAAUUUUUUGUUUAUAUUUUUAUUUCUACAAGCGUUGCAUUGUUGUCUUCAGUUAAUGUUGUGAGACUUUGGUUAGAUUCAUAAAAUUAACGUAAUCCUAUA